ensembl:lncRNA
GGCGGUGGCGCCCAGGCACCAGUGAGCACCUGAGUGCCCUCCAGCUUGCCCCGGGCUAGGUGUUUGGCCUCUGAAAGACCCCUUGUUGGAGACAGCUGUCAGGCCCCGGAAACCCCGCUCGUCCAGCAGGCGCUGGCUUCCUGCGUCAGUCUCCUGUGAGGCCCGCUCCAUGGAGCUGUGGACAAGACGGAACGUUUCUCCGGAGGCAAGGCUGGGGUCUAGCACCAGGCCACGGCUAUCACCCUUCCUCAGGGCCAGGGCCACUUGUGAGCCCCCUUCCCUGCACCUCCGGGGUCUACUCCCCGUGCUGUCUCAGUGGAGGCGAGGCGGAUGGGCGGCUUGAAGGAGGCUGCCUCUGACAUCGAGUCACCAGCACCAGGCCUCAAAGCAAUGGAGCCAGCCAGCAAUGGACUGAAACCUCUGAAACCAUGAGCCUGAAUGAACCCUUUUCUCAUGCUGAGUUGAUGAUCUCAAGUAUUUUGUCACAGCAACAGCAAAAACAUCUGGCAUUUGGAAGACGCUGAAACGCUUCUUC